rnacentral:rRNA from 1 species
GACGAACGCUGGCGGCGUGCUUAACACAUGCAAGUCGAACGGAAAGGCCCUGCUUGCAGGGUGCUCGAGUGGCGAACGGGUGAGUAACACGUGGGUGAUCUGCCCCUUACUUUGGGAUAAGCCUGGGAAACUGGGUCUAAUACUGGAUAGGACCAUGCUGUAGGUGGUGUGGUGGAAAGAUUAGUGUCGGUAAGGGAUGAGCUCGGGGCCUAUCAGCUUGUUGGUGGGGUAAUGGCCUACCAAGGCGUCGACGGGUAGCCGGCCUGAGAGGGUGGACGGCCACAUUGGGACUGAGAUACGGCCCAGACUCCUACGGGAGGCAGCAGUGGGGAAUAUUGCACAAUGGGCGCAAGCCUGAUGCAGCGACGCCGCGUGGGGGAUGACGGCCUUCGGGUUGUAAACUCCUUUCAGCCAUGACGAAGCCCUUGUGGUGACGGUAGUGGUAGAAGAAGCACCGGCUAACUACGUG